GCAAGUCGAGGGGUAACAGGAAAAAGCUUGCUUUUUCGCUGACGACCGGCGCACGGGUGCGUAACGCGUAUACAAUCUACCUUUUGCUGAGGGAUAGCCCAGAGAAAUUUGGAUUAAGACCUCAUGGUAUCAUAUUAUCUCCUGAUAAAAUGAUUAAAGGUUACGGCAAAAGAUGAGUAUGCGUCCUAUUAGCUAGAUGGUAAGGUAACGGCUUACCAUGGCAACGAUAGGUAGGGGCCCUGAGAGGGGGAUC
rnacentral:rRNA from 1 species